rnacentral:rRNA from 1 species
AAGCGGAUAAUGGAUGCCUUGGAUACUAGAGCCGAAGAAGGACGUCUAUGGCCACGAAAGUCGUCGGGGAGCUGCCAUACAGCUGUGAUCCGGCGGUGUCCGAAUGGGGAAACCCCUGCGUAAGCAGACCCCGCAAUUGCGGGGAGGGAACGCCUCGAACUGAAACAUCUAAGUAGGGGCUGGAAAAUAAAUCACAGAGAUUUCGUAAGUAGCGGCGAGCGAAAGCGAAACAGUCUAAACCCCGCAGCAAUGCGGGGGGUUGCGGGAAGUGUUGAGGGACAACAAAAGAUAACUGAAUUGCUUGGAAUCGUAGACCAAAGAGCGUGAUAGUCGCGUAAGUAAAAUCAAUUGUUGCCUGAUGCCAAUUUUCCCAAGUACCAUGGGGCACAUACCCUGUGGGAAUCCGGGGUGACCACACUCCAAGACUAAAUACUCUAGUAUACCGAUAGUGAACUAGUACCGUGAGGGAAAGGCGAAAAGAAGGGUGAAAAACCUAGUGAAAUAGAACCUGAAAUUGUCCGCUAACAAGCAGUGAGAGUCCUUCGGCCGCAAGGCUUGGGGAUGAUCGCGUGCCUAUUGAAGAAUGAUCCGGCGAGUUUUCGAUUACCACAAGUCUACGUCGACCAAGUCGAAGCAGGCGCAGCGAAAGCGAGUCUUAACAGGGCGAUUAGUGGUGAUUGGAAGACCCGAAACCUGGUGAGCUAAUCAUGAGCAGGGUGAGACCCGCCGAAAGGUGGGAGGAGGCCCGCACUCGUCAGAGUUACAAAUCUGUGAGAUGACUUGUGAUUAGGGGUAAUAUGCCAAUCGAACCAGGAGAUAGCUGGCUCUCCCCGAAAUAUAUAUAGGUAUAGCCUCAUGUGAUAAUUUACGAGAGGUAGAGCACUGGAUGGGUGUAGUAGCGCAAGCUAUUGCUCUCAAUCAAACUCCGAAUUCUUGUAAGGAACCCAUGGGAGUCAGAACGGCGCGGCUAAGCGCGUCGCUCUAAAGGGAAACAACCCAGAUUGUCGUCUAAGGUCUCUAAAUGAAUACUUAGUGUAAAACGAAGUCAAAUUUCUCAGACAACCAGGAGGUUGGCUCAGAAGCAGCCAUCCUUUAAAGAAAGCGUAACAGCUCACUGGUCGAUUUGUUUGAAGGUCACACCGUGAGGUGGACUGGAGUGAUCUCAAGUGAGAAUGCCGGAAUGAGUAGCGUAACCAAAGUGAGAAUCUUUGGCACCGAAAACCCAAGGUUUCCCUGGCUACAUUGUUUGUCCAGGGGUAAGUCGGCACCUAAGGCGAGGCCAUAGUAGGCGUAGCUGAUGGACGAGCCGUUGAUAUUCGGCUACAUGGUAAGUAUCGUUACCAGUUAGGGAUGUACGAGAAUGGAGAAACCAGAUGUUGUUGUGAUAUAUGACAUCUAAGCAAUAAGACAGUUGGUCUUGGAAAAUCCAGACCGGCGUUUAAUCGAGUUGUGACGGGGAGUUGGGGUCGCAAGGCUCUAACAACUUGGUGAUCUUCAAUCUUCAGGAAAAGAUCCGUGACGAGAUACUUAUUAUGCCGUACCGCAAACCGACACUGGUGGGUUGGUCGAGUAGACUAAGGUGAUCGAGAGAAGGUAGUUCAAGGAACUCGGCAAAAAAGCUGGACGUAAGCUAUGCAAGAUGUCCUACCUGGGGUUAAACUCAGGUUACAACAAAAGAUUAUUCCGCGACUGUUUAACUAAAACACAGGUCCGUGCAAACUCGAAAGAGAAAGUAUACGGGCUGAGACCUGCCCAGUGCUCGCAAGUCAAGGGGAUGGUUGAGAUUACAUCAAGACUUGAACUGAAGCCCGAGUGAACGGCAGCAGUAACUAUAACUGUUCGAUGGUAGCGAAGUUCCUUGUCGGGUAAGUUCCGACCCGCAUGAAAGGUAUAACGACGGAAUAACUGUCUUGAACUAUCACUCGGCGAAUUUGAAAUGGCUGUGAAGAUGCGGCCUACCUCUACUAGGACAAAAAGACCCUAUGGAGCUUUACUGUAACCAGGCGCUGUCUUGGAUAUUAAAAUAGUUUAGUGUAGGAGGGAGCCGCAAGGCAAACUUGAAACACCUCUCGUUUUGGUAUCUCAAGACUCACCCAUGUCAGCUGGAAACGCUGUCGGGGACAAGGUUUGGUGGGCAGUUUUACUGGGGAGGUACCCUGCUAAAAGGUAACGCAGGGGUACUAAGGUGCACUAAGCUCGGAUGGAAAUCGAGCAGGUCGUGUAACGGCAAAAGUGCGCUUGACUGUGAGAGCGUCGGCUCGAGCAGGUGGGAAACCAGGUCGUAGUGAUCCCCCGAUGCGUCGUGGGACGCGCGGGGCUUAACGGAUAAAAGCUACCCUAGGGAUAACAGGCUGAUCGCCGCCAAGAGUUCAUAACGCGGCGGUUUGGCACCUCGAUGUCGGCUCACUGCAUCCUGGGGGGGUAGUACCUCCCAAGGGUCCGGCUGUUCGCCGGUUAAAGCGGUACGCGAGCUGGGUUCAGAACGUCGUAAGACAGUUCGGUCUCUAUCCAGUAGGGGCGUUGGGAUUCUUGAGGGGGUCUGCUCUCAGUACGAGAGGACCAGAGUGGAGAUACCUCUGGUGUGCCGGUUGUGACGUCAGUUGCAUCGCCGGGUAGCUAAGUAUCUACGGGAUAACCGCUGAAAGCAUCUAAGUGGGAAGCCCUACCCAAGAUUAGGAAUCCAUGUUCUGCCGCAAGGCGGGACGAAAGACCCGGGGAAGACUACCCCGUAUAUAGGCUGGCGGUGUAAGGCACGCGAGUGUUUUAGCCUACCAGUACUAAAUGGUC